rnacentral:rRNA from 2 species
UACAGAGACUGCAAGCGUUAUUCGGAUUCACUGGGCGUAAAGGGUGCGCAGGCGGCCGUGUGUGUCAGGUGUGAAAGCCCGGGGCUUAACCCCGGAAUUGCGCCUGAAACUACAUGGCUAGAGCAUUGGAGAGGGUAGCGGAAUUCACGGUGUAGCAGUGAAAUGCGUAGAUAUCGUGAGGAACACCAGAGGCGAAGGCGGCUACCUGGACAAUUGCUGACGCUCAGGCACGAAAGCGUGGGGAGCAAAAGGG